rnacentral:lncRNA from 1 species
AUGGGAAACCAGCUCUGCUGCCGGGGAUGCUGGAACUGCCCAUCAAUUGCCCAGAGGAAAAAGAAAACAGGAAGCCAAGCAAGACAGACACUGAAGCAGCAGCAGCAGCAGCAGCAGCAGCAGCAGCAGCACAGGCACAAGCACAGUGCAAAGGUGAUGACCGGCCUCUGUCCCUUCCAGGGGGCUGUUCUGACAUGGGAUCUGAGGACUCAGCAUUUUCACCCUGUGACACAUCUCCAUUAUCUGGAACCAGAAAUUGCUGGUUCUGUCCCACAGAGGAGCAAGGCGAGGGGACAUCAGAAUCACUGACCUUGCUUUGUAGGUGAGGGGCAAAAGCAAGCCAAGAAUCUCCCUUCAUGCUGUCCAUUUCUUGCAGGUCCAUAACACAAGAGGACAUACGUAUGAGCAGGUGUUAGAGAAGCCCGGAUCUCAGGAGAAGAGUCCAGGCCUCAGGUCCAAGGAGAGCAGCUUACAUUAUGCAGACAUUCAAGUGUGCAGCUAUACCCAGCCUCGCUCUGCUCGGCAGGUGAAACACCUCCAGUCAGAAAAUGCAACGGAGUACGCAAUCCUCCGCUUCCCACAGGCCACACCCCGCUAUGACAGCAAGAAUGGGACCCUGGUGUGAGCUCUGGGGAGGACGCACCUGUUUCCAUCAUUUUACCACUACUCCCUUGGGGGAGAAUCUGCCUUGGGGAAUUGGUUGGCAGCCCAGAGAUGCCUGCCACGUUUUAAAGAACUCCAGAGUCCCAUGAAUGCCACCAGUCUUGCCCCCUCCCCUAGGCCUAUCUUUUAUUUGCCACCGUUAGCUUGGAGUUGUAUUUGGGUUAGCUAGGUGUGGAUGGAGCUCCACAAAAUGAGGGGGCUAGGAUGAGCCUGAAGGAAGUGUUUUGACCUCUACCUUUGCUCCUGCUUUCAAGAAAAGUGCUGACAGGCCAGGUUACCCCAGCACUUGAGCUGAUUUUGUUGGGCUUAAUUUAACGGUGUCUCUUUUACACACCUUACACUCCACAGUUUAAGAAGAAGAGGAGCUCUGGAAAAGCAUUCUCAGUUCUUGUACACAGCCCCCCAGAGCUGGCUUGGGCAAUUCCUUCGGUGGUGGGGUCAAAGGUCCCAGAACCUAAACAGACAAACGAGGGCAGGGACUGAGGCAUGGAGGAAGCGAUCUCUGACCAUCGGUGACAAGGACUUCAAGUCAUUUGACAGAAGUGCGUGACCUGGAAACUCCCCUUGGCUUGCAGGUGCAGAGCCGCUAGGAUCAAUAAAUCACAAAAGGAAUAUCCCUGGUGGCGUUUU